rnacentral:tRNA from 1 species
AGGGGCGUAGCUCAGUUGGUAGAGCACCGGUCUCCAAAACCGGUUGUCGCGAGUUCAAAUCUCUCCGCCCCUGCUA